rnacentral:tRNA from 1 species
GGAGAGGUGCCGGAGUGGACGAACGGGCUCGUCUCGAAAACGAGUGUAGGUACCCCCUACCGUGGGUUCGAAUCCCACCCUCUCCG